rnacentral:lncRNA from 1 species
UUUGUUCUUUAUAUGUAGAAAUGUUACCUGUAUAUAAUUUAGCUCAUGGCUUAAUGUUGAUGCAUUGGCCUAAUAAUAAACAGAUCUGAUGUUCAAAAUUUAGAUUUAGAUUUCUGUUUUAUUUUUGUGGGUGUGGUCAAUGACAAAUCUUCUGUCUUUUUACAGGUUAUCCGGAGAAGGGAGUCUUGGAUGUCUCAUCCAGCAUGGGAUCUACUGCUGCUAAUGAUUUGAAAGGGAAUAUGCAGCCCACCGCCGGACUCAAAGAUGAAAAUGAAGGUGAUAAACAAAGCCCCACUACUAUUAAUAUACUCCUCCUUAUUGUUCUCUUUCUAAUGCAAGUGUCAAUAGGAAUGCUGAUCUAGACUGCUCAAGUAAAAUGGAAACAGAGUCUGUAUUUAAUUAAUUUUAUUUGCAUGCUGAAUCAGUUUUACAGUAUUGUAUUUCAGACAUAGAACUGUUCUCCAUGGAUAAAUAUUAUGCAUUUCUCACCAGUGCAUGG